rnacentral:lncRNA from 1 species
UAACACACUACUGAAAGAUGCUCUAUAGCCAUCAUGUUAAAGAAGCAAGGUUGGGCACAGCCCAGUAUAUACUGUCCUGAACGUGUUGUCGCUGUCCACGUGUCCCCCCGUUCUUUUGAUCUUCUGCCUUGAAGUGAGGGUUUGUUGCAGGAUUCAGCUGGAGUUUGCUUUGGUAUGGUUGUAUUUUCGUGGUGCUCAGUGAUGUGCGCUUAGAACAAUCACUUUAA